CUGGCGGCGUGCCUAACACAUGCAAGUCGAACAAGAAAGGGACUUCGGUCCUGAGUACAGUGGCGCACGGGUGAGUAACACGUGACUAACCUACCCUCGAGUGGGGAAUAACUUCGGGAAACCGAGGCUAAUACCGCAUAAUACCCACGGGUCAAAGGAGCAAUUCGCUUGAGGAGGGGGUCGCGGCCGAUUAGCUAGUUGGCGGGGUAAUGGCCCACCAAGGCAGUGAUCGGUAUCCGGCCUGAGAGGGCGCACGGACACACUGGAACUGAAACACGGUCCAGACUCCUACGGGAGGCAGCAGUGGGGAAUUUUGCGCAAUGGGGGAAACCCUGACGCAGCAACGCCGCGUGGAGGAUGAAGUCUCUUGGGACGUAAACUCCUUUCGAUCGGAACGAUUAUGACGGUACCGGAAGAAGAAGCCCCGGCUAACUUCGUGCCAGCAGCCGCGGUAAUACGAGGGGGGCGAGCGUUGUUCGGAAUUAUUGGGCGUAAAGGGUGCGUAGGCGGUUCGGUAAGUUUGAUGUGAAAUCUUCGGGCUCAACUCGAAGUCUGCAUCGAAAACUGCCGGGCUUGAGUGUGGGAGAGGUGAGUGGAAUUUCCGGUGUAGCGGUGAAAUGCGUAGAUAUCGGAAGGAACACCUGUGGCGAAAGCGGCUCACUGGACCACAACUGACGCUGAUGCACGAAAGCUAGGGGAGCAAACAGGAUUAGAUACCCUGGUAGUCCUAGCCCUAAACGAUGAUCGCUUGGUGUGGCGGGUACACAAUCUUGCCAGUUGCUACCAUUUAGUUGAGCACUGUGGUGAGACCGCCUCGGAUAACGGGGAGGAAGGUGGGGAUGACGUCAAGUCCUCAUGGCCUUUAUGUCCAGGGCUACACACGUGCUACAAUGGCCGGUACAAACCGCCGCAAACCCGCGAGGGGGAGCUAAUCGGAAAAAGCCGGCCUCAGUUCGGAUUGUAGUCUGCAACUCGACUACACGAAGCUGGAAUCGCUAGUAAUCGCGGAUCAGCAUGCCGCGGUGAAUACGUUCCCGGGCCUUGUACACACCGCCCGUCACAUCACGAAAGUGGGUCGUACUAGAAGCGGGUGAGCCAACCGUAAGGAGGCAGCCUUCCAAGGUGUGAUUCAUGAUUGGGGUGAAGUCGUAACAAGGUAGCCGUAGGAGAACCUGCGGCUGGAUCACCUCCUUUCU
rnacentral:rRNA from 1 species